rnacentral:rRNA from 1 species
UACGAAGGGGGCUAGCGUUGCUCAGAAUCACUGGGCGUAAAGCGCACGUAGGCGGCUUUCUAAGUCAGGGGUGAAAUCCUGGAGCUCAACUCCAGAACUGCCUUUGAUACUGGAGAGCUCGAGUCCGGAAGGGGUGGGUGGAAUUCCUAGUGUAGAGGUGAAAUUCGUAGAUAUUCGGAAGAACACCCGUGGCUAAGGCGGCUCUCUAGUACGGUACUGACGCUGAGACGCGAAAGCGUGGGGAGCGAACAGG